rnacentral:ribozyme from 12 species
GUUCUUUUUUCCAAUUUUCUUCUUUUUUCUUACAUUUUCUUCCUUUUCCAUCUUAUU